ACAAUGCGGAACAAUGUUUUGCAAUUGGAUUGAGAACAACGUACAAACCUUAUCGAUAAACAAUUGGAGGGCAAGUCUGGUGCCAGCAGCCGCGGUAAUUCCAGCUCCAAUAGCGUAUAUUAACGUUGUUGCAGUUAAAAAGCUCGUAGUUGAAAUGAAGGGUAGUUGUGUAAUGAAUACAUUCGUGUAUUUUGUUAUUCUACUACCCUCCUUCUAAAUUCGAUAUAUGAGUAUUAAUUUACUUGUAUAUGGUUUUAGACGUUUACUGUGAGAAAAUUAGAGUGUUCAAAGCAGGCAUUUGCUUGAAUAUAUUAGCAUGGAAUAAUCAUGUAUGAUUUUCAUGAUGUAUUUGAUUGGUUUGGUUCAUGAGAAUAAGAUUAAAAGGGACAGUUGGGGGUAUUCAUAUUCAAUAGUCAGAGGUGAAAUUCUCGGAUUUAUGGAAGAUGAAC
rnacentral:rRNA from 1 species